UGCGUGAGGCGCUCGCAACCGGGGUUCGCCAGAUAUCGCGGAGCACGCUACCCCCUCCUUCCCAAGAAGCGGUUCUCCCCUGUGCCGGCCUCUCCGCCCUCACUCUUCUCUCAUCUGCCGAUGUUGAAGCCCAGGUGGAAUGCAAUUUAGGUCAACAAGAACCAUUGCUGCUGAUCAUUAGCUUGCUUGGGAGCUGCGGAGCCGGCAAGUUGCGGCGGCAGGGACGCGAAGUUGAGGGAGCGCUGAGCACGCACGGGCAGUGCAGUGCAGUGCUUCCUGAAGUGCUCGCCUGGUCGAGCUAAGGUCACAGGAGGAGGUGGAGAGAGGGAGGCCUAACCGCCCGCCCGGCGCUCAAGGUGUUCGUGCAAUUGCGUCGCCAGCGUGGCUCGGGCACUUCCUUCCUUCCGCUACGUGCCUGGUGGACGGGCGUGGGAGCGCGACCAGCUACACGCAGACAGAAGAGAAGCGAGUCCUUCGCUCGCAGACCAUGUUGUCUCUGGUGAGCCAGCAGCCGCCGCUCCCCGCACUGCAUUCCAGCGUCUCCCAUGCAUCGGCGUCAGUGGUGACAUUCGGCGCCACAUGGCUCCGUAGCAGCAGCGGCUAUGGCAUUCCAACUCGGUCUAGAGCUCUGGUCCCCUGCACGGGUUUGUCCAGUGGAGGUCUUGCCAAGGAUAAGCAGCAGGUCUGCCAAGAGAACGCCGCCUCUGAGAAUGAAGAUGGGGCUCUGGGAUGGAGCAAGGACGAGAUCGAGGCCAUCUCGGCGCUGUUUGAGUGGCCGAUGCGCCAGAGUCUGCUGAAGCCCCCGAGCCCGGUGACUCGGCGGCCGCUCCCGCUGCCGCAGCCCCACAAGACGAGGCUGCCGCCCGCUCCGACGCGGAAGCAGCACGUCCGGCUCCCCUCGCGCUCCUCGUUCAGUGACCGGGUGCGCAAGGAUCCGGAGGUCCUCGUCGGGAUCGCCCUGGAGAUUGCCGCGCUCUUGCCGGAGUCCGAGGUGUCCAUGGUGCUGGACAGCUGGGCUCCGUUCCUCCGGAAAGGGUCCCUGUCCAUGACCAUCCGGGAGCUCGGCCACAUGGGGCUCCCGGAGAGGGCGCUCCAGACACUUUGCUGGGCGCAGGCGCAGAAGGCCGUGCCGCUGUUCCCCGAUGACCGCAUCCUGGCCUCGACCAUCGAGGUCCUAGCGCGUUUCGACGAGCUGAGGAUGGAGUCCGCGCUUGAGGAGUGCGUGCCGUCGGCGAGCCGCGCUGUCCUCGAAGCCAUGGCGAGUGGGUUUAUAGGGGCAGGCAAAGUUGACCUGGCUCGCAAGGUCCUCGAGCUUGCCAGGAUAAACAAGAGAACGCUGCACCCGAGCAUCUAUGCAAAGCUGAUUCUGGAAGUUGCCCAGACACCUGAAGGCUACGGGCUUGCUGCUGCGCUGCUCGAUGAGCUUGGUGAGAGGCCGGACUUUGACCUGCGGCCGCAGGACUGCACGGCUGUGAUGAAGGUCUGCGUAAAGCUCAGGCGGUUCGCGGCCGUGGAGAGCUUGUUCAGCUGGUUCAGGGCGUCUGGCAGGAACCCGACCGUGGUGAUGUACACGACUGUGAUCCACAGUCGCUCCAGAGACGGGAGGCACCGGGAGGCGUUGGCCCUGGUGUGGGAAAUGGAGCAGGCAAACUGCCUUCUUGACCUGCCGGCAUACCGGGUCAUUGUCAAGCUGUGUGUGGCAUUGCGCGAUCCAGAAAGGGCUUUUCGGUACCUGUCUAGGUUGAAGGAGGCUGGGUUCCUUCCGACCAGUGACAUAUACUGUAAUUUGAUUGAAGGCUAUGCUGUAGCGGGGAGGAUGGCCAAGUGCCGGCAGCUUAUCAGGGAGGCUGAGUCCACCGGCGUGAUGCUGGACAAGAGGCUGGUUUCAAGCUUGUCUGAGAUGGAUAAUGGACAUCCUUGAACCACUGGCGAAGUGAAAGUCUAUGCUCCUGUAAUUUUCUGUAGGUGAUUGGAGACAGAGUAUUGGGAUCAGUUACUGGGAAUUGUAAAUCAUUUAAGGAUUAACAACACUCCAUUUCUGUGAGAGUUUGUGAAUUUUGAUUCAACCACUUUUCAGGCUAUCUGAUACAGGGCUGGCUAGAAUUUGCUGAAGGUUGCUCUCUUCAGAAGUAAAAAACUUGUACGGGUACCAAGUAACCACUGAUAUUGGACUAAUUGCUAUUGCAAGAGGGCACUGAUCUUGUAUUUCUGGAUAUAAGUGUUCUCCCGGUAAAUACUUAUGACACUGAAUUUACUGCACUACCAAUCGUCCAAAAAUUGAGAAUGAAAGUGGCAUCUACUUCAAUUUUUGUUGUUCAGACUAGGUUUGGGAAACUUUCCAAAACCUGUUGGUAAGACGUCUAACAAGAUUUUAACAAAGAGAAAAAGUGCUCCUCUUCAUUUGACCCUAUUCAUGGUUUUUCGUGCCAAACCUGUUAAUUAGCUGCCAUAGUACUAGCUUUUAGGAGUUUGGAUAAAGUAUUAGCUCCAUUUUUACCCAAAGAACUCAGACUGACUCUAUGAUGGUAGACGUUACAACUCAGAAUUCACAACCAUAGGCUGGAUGGAAGGCAGUGCUGGCCAAUGUGUCGUGCAACUUUCGCAAGCUCAGUCUCUUUACCGUAAGGUGAGUCCGAACUUUUAAUUUGCUUUGGCCUCAUCGUUUGAUGGAUGGCAUGUAUGAAUAUGGCUAGCAAUUGGGGAAUAAUUGUAAAUUGUGUCUUAGUUUUUGAUUAAUAAUAUAGUAUGGAGAGGAUGAACAAUAUGUUGUCACUCUUUUACAUAUGGAACUUAAGUUUCUGGCCAGAUAUUUGGUCUAUCUAUUUUUUUUCUGGUUGAAUCAUCUGUGUAGUACUUUUAAUAUAGAUGGUGCUGACAUUGUACGGAGCUUAACAUGACAGUAGCAAAUGAGAACUAUAUGCCCGAACGUGC